UAACUCCUCUUCAGCAACCACAUGAUUCAGAUGCAGACCAUCUCCAGCACACGAAGCCUGCCCCCGUACCUCCCGGUACCCUCCCCAGAGAGACUUAUCCUUCAGCAAGAACUCAGCUUCAUUUGUUCCAGAAAAUUUCAUCCAAAGUGAGGUCUCUAUUGUUGGACUCCCUAGACUAGGUCAGUUCUCUUGUUUUAUUUUUGCUUCUUCCCAUGGCACCUAGUAUAUUCCCCUCCUGCACAUCCCUCUCACUUGUUGAACCUCUUUCUUGCUACUCUGUAAGCUCUGUGAAGGCAAGGACAGUGUCUGAUUUAUUCAAUUGCUGUAACAGAGUACCUGGCAUAUAAUAUGUUUAUAAUUAUUUGUUAAAUUAAUUGACUUGACUAUCUUAUGUCUCUUGGGAGAACUUGCAUUCUUCCUAAUUUAAAAAAUGUAAC